GUGAGUCUCACCAGUGCAGACUCCCCUUGGGGCCUGUUGGGCACUCAGAUGGAGCAGCCCAUGUCCUGGCUAACAACUGGCACCCCAGCCUUGACAUCAGGGUGCUCUUAUUCCCUUUCAGUAAGUCAUGCGCCGCCGUCCCCCUCCCCCCCCCCCAACAAAAGGGCGCUCCCAAGAGCUGGUGGAGGUGUUCAGAGCCACAAGACAGAGGACUUGUUCAAGAGGAGUAUUUGGGGGAGUGAAUCAAACAGUGGUCUCAUUUUUUGCUAUUUUUGUUAGUUUGGGUUUCUGAUUCUUUAAAAACACCCAAGUGUCUACAAUCACCACCAGUAUUUUCUCUCUGGGCAGGGUUUUCCUGUAAGGCAGUUCUCACCUGUACCCAAGCAGCCCAGUGGGUGCUCCCAGGGAUGCCCCCAGUGGCCUCCUCCAGGGGCACUUGCUUAUUUCAUCUUCACAUGCACAAUAAGACACUUUCCAACACGAAGGGUGGAAGAUGCAAACCUUUUCUACAGGAAGCUCAGUUUAACUUUUAUAGGUCUUGUCUUCCCGUUUUUUUCUUGCCUUUGAUCUCAGAAAGUUACCACGAAGGUGCCUACUAGGUUUUAAGACAUCGAUUUCCACAGCUGAAUGUACUGCCUGACCCUCACAAUCAACCGACAGUAUUGAGUAUCGCUGACAAACACCUCAAUGUCAUGAUAAUGGGAACACCAGUCAUCUUUAAUCUUGCCUCGGACAAGCCUUGGCUCCCAGUUAAGCAUAAAAGUGAAG